AUAAUACUCCCUCCAUUCGGAAUUACUUGUCAUCAAAAUGGAUGUGUCUAGAACUAAAAUACAUCUAGAUACAUCCAUUUCAAUGACAAGUAUUUUCGGAUGGAGGGAAUAGUAG
rnacentral:pre_miRNA from 1 species